GCCGCCUAUGUGAUUUCCACCCAAAGAAGUAGAUGCCUAGGCCUUCCGCGUGUCUAAGUCGCCUUCUGUUAGCUCCUCUCAGGAGAUGGUCCCUUGUCAGUUACUAACACUGACAAACCCGCAAAUUCCAGUCACACCCGUUCGUGGCUAUUUCACACUUGCUUCUUUCUUUCCUCAGGGGCGUGCCUGCUGUGGUUGAUUUUGCAGCAAUGCGCGAUGCUGUGAAGAAGUUGGGAGGAAAUCCAGAGAAAAUAAACCCUGUCUGCCCCGCUGACCUUGUAAUCGAUCAUUCCAUCCAGGUUGAUUUCAACAGAAGGGCAGACAGUUUGCAGAAGAAUCAAGACCUGGAAUUUGAAAGGAAUAGAGAACGAUUUGAAUUUUUAAAGUGGGGUUCCCAGGCCUUUUGCAACA
rnacentral:lncRNA from 1 species